AUUGAACGCUAGCGGGAUGCUUUACACAUGCAAGUCGAACGAGUGGCGGACGGGUGAGUAAUAUAUCGGAACGUGCCCACUAGCGGGGGAUAACUACUCGAACGAGUGGCUAAUACCGCAUACUAUUGGAGAGGCCCAUCUCGGAUUAGCUAGUUGGUGGGGUAAAGGCUCACCAAGGCAACGAUCCGUAGCUGGUUUGAGAGGAAGAACAGCCACACUGGGACUGAGACACGGCCCAGACUCCUACGGGAGGCAGCAGUGGGGAAUUUUGGACAAUGGGGGAAACCCUGAUCCAGCCAUCCCGCGUGUAUGAGAAGGCCUUAGGGUUGUAAAGUACUUGUGGCAGAGAGGCGUUAUCUGCAGAAUAAGCACCGGCUAACUCCGGGCCAGCCGCCGCGGUAAUUC
rnacentral:rRNA from 1 species